GGCCAGACUCCUACGGGAGGCAGCAGUGAGGAAUAUUGGUCAAUGGGCUUACGCCUGAACCAGCCAAGUCGCGUGAGGGAAGACUGCCCUAUGGGUUGUAAACCUCUUUUGUCAGGGAGCAAUUGGCGCUACGUGUAGCGUUAUCGAGAGUACCUGAAGAAAAAGCAUCGGCUAACUCCGUGCCAGCAGCCGCGGUAAUACGGAGGAUGCGAGCGUUAUCCGGAUUUACUGGGUGUAAAGGGGGCGCAGACGGCAGCGCAAGCCAGGAGUGAAAGCCCGGGGCCCAACCCCGGGACUGCUCUUGGAACUGCGCGGCUGGAGUGCAGGAGGGGCAGGCGGAAUUCCUGGUGUAGCGGUGAAAUGCGUAGAUAUCAGGAGGAACACCGGUGGCGAAGGCGGCCUGCUGGACUGCGACUGACGUUGAGGCCCGAAAGCGUGGGGAGCAAACAGGAUUAGAUACCCUAGUA
rnacentral:rRNA from 1 species